rnacentral:lncRNA from 1 species
GAAACAGAAUACAAAGACUUGUAUAAGGAUUUCUGUCAGCUCAACCAUGCUAUUGAGGAGUUUAUGUCUGAAGAAGAUUAUGCAAAGGACCAACAUACAUGGUUCGAACCAAGAGUCUGCUUAUGUGAAAAGUUCAUUACUGCAGUUAACAAGUGGAUGAAACAAGUUGCAGAAAAUGCUGAGCAAGCAGUACAGUGUGAUCUAGAAAUAAAUCCUGAUGAUAGCAUUUCUUCUGUGUCAGUGACUUCAAGUAAGAAGCAUAAGAAACAUGGGUCAGUAGACGGCAGGUCUACAGCUUCCACAACUUCUUCUGCACGUAUAUCUGCUGAAGCAGAAAGAGCUGCACUACUUGUUAAACAUGCUGCUCUGAAGAAAAAACAAGCUAUUGAAAGACAAGAGGCUGAACUAAAGGCUAAAAGAGAAGAAUUUGAGCUAGAAGUUGCCCUAGCAGCGUCAGAUGCAAAGAUUAAAGUUAUAAAGCAGUAUGAGAGCUGUCGGUCUUCAGCGGUAAGUCACAAAGAAGUAGAUCUGGAAUCAGGUAGCAUAACACCUCAUGAGGAUGUGUUUCAACCUCUUAGGCCACAAUCAACUAAUAACACAGUCCCAAACGAGCCUUAUUCAGGUAGAGAGGGAAACGUAGUUGAUACUUUAAGCAAUGCUGUGGAGCGACAAGCCAAUAUCGCUGAGUGCUUAGUGAAGCAUCAAAAAAUGUCCAUGCUGCCUUCAAUUGACAUACCCACUUUCAAAGGAGAUCCUCUCGAUUAUAAGCUGUUCAUUAGGGCCUUCGAACAUGGAGUUGAAGAUCGUACUGAUAACGAUAAGGACCGUUUGUACUUUAUGGAACAGUACACGACUGGAAAGCCUAAGGAACUGGUUCGUAGCUGUCUUCAUAUGAACCCAGCAGAAGGUUAUCUAAAGGCAAAGCAACUUCUGAGAGAGCAUUUUGGAAAUGAGUAUCAGAUUGCAGUCGCAUACAUGAACAAAGCUCUACACUGGUCCUCUAUCAGGCCUGAAGAUGGGGAAGCACUUCACUCCUUUUCAUUGUUUCUGUUAGGAUGCUGCAAUGCAAUGUCAGAUAUAAGUUACAUGGAAGAGAUGGAUAACGCAGCAAAUUUAAGAGCCAUUGCGGUGAAACUUCCAUAAAAAUUAAGAGAAAAAUGGCGAUCGGUGGCAUGUGGAAUUCAAGAGAAGCAAAAUGCUAGAGUGAAGUUCAAAGAUUUAGUUGAUUUCAUUAACAAGCAAGCAAGGAUUUCUCUUCAUCCAGUGUUUGAAGACAUAAAGGAAAGUUCAACAACUAAAGGACAAGCUAAGUUACAUGCAGAAUCAAGCACUUAUAAAAAGGCUGUAACAAAAAGGGUCUUCACGAUUAGUGCUGUACCGAUUGACAAAAAGGCUGAAGACUAUGACAAACUUUCAGUUCAAAGAUGGCAAAAUACACAUGCCAACAGCCAGAAGAAACCAUGUGUCUUUUGUAAAGGACAGCAGCACAACCUGGAAUUGUGUAAAAGGUUGAGAAGUAAGACACAACAGGAGAAAAUUUACUUU